rnacentral:rRNA from 1 species
AUACGGAGGGUGCAAGCGUUAUUCGGAAUCACUGGGCGUAAAGGACGCGUAGGCGGGUUGGCAAGUCAGAUGUGAAAUCCUACAGCUUAACUGUAGAACUGCAUUUGAAACUGCUAACCUAGAGUAUGGGAGGGGGAGAUGGAAUUAGUGGUGUAGGGGUAAAAUCAGUAGAUAUCACUAGGAAUACCGAAAGCGAAGGCGAUCUCCUGGAACAUAACUGACGCUAAGGCGUGAAAGCGUGGGGAGCAAACGGGAUUAGAAACCCCAGUAGUCC